rnacentral:tRNA from 1 species
GCCCUUGUAGUCUAGCUUGGAUAUCUGAGGAAAGCAGAGCUUUCCAAGAUCUCGAAAAACAGGUUUUUCGAAGAGGACACGAGGUUGCGGACCUCGGAACCCGGGUUCAAAUCCCGGCGGGGGCA